rnacentral:rRNA from 1 species
UACAGAGGGUGCGAGCGUUAAUCGGAGUUACUGGGCGUAAAGGGCGCGUAGGCGGGUUGUUAAGUGAUAUGUGAAAUCCCUGGGCUUAACCUAGGAACUGCAUGUCAUACUGGCGAUCUAGAGUAUUGUAGAGGGUAGUGGAAUUUCCGGUGUAGCGGUGAAAUGCGUAGAGAUCGGAAGGAACACCAGUGGCGAAGGCGGCUACCUGGACAAAUACUGACGCUGAGGCGCGAAAGCGUGGGGAGCAAACAGG